AGUCGAACGGUAACAGGUCUUCGGAUGCUGACGAGUGGCGAACGGGUGAGUAAUGCAUCGGAACGUGCCCAGUCGUGGGGGAUAACGCAGCGAAAGCUGUGCUAAUACCGCAUACGAUCUAUGGAUGAAAGCGGGGGAUCGAAAGACCUCGCGCGAUUGGAGCGGCCGAUGUCAGAUUAGCUAGUUGGUGGGGUAAAGGCCCACCAAGGCGACGAUCUGUAGCUGGUCUGAGAGGACGACCAGCCACACUGGGACUGAGACACGGCCCAGACUCCUACGGGAGGCAGCAGUGGGGAAUUUUGGACAAUGGGCGCAAGCCUGAUCCAGCAAUGCCGCGUGCAGGAAGAAGGCCUUCGGGUUGUAAACUGUUUUUGUACGGAACGAAAAGGUCUGGGUUAAUACCCUGGGCUCAUGACGGUACCGUAAGAAUAAGCACCGGCUAACUACGUGCCAGCAGCCGCGGUAAU
rnacentral:rRNA from 1 species